GAGAGCUUCCGGGUUGGUGAAAAAAUCCACUUGCCAGGAGGGUGGUACACCCCACCUUCACAACGACAGAAGCUUACUUUCAGACUAGGUAUCUCCAUCUGGCCAUUAUCUUUAUCCUUUAUCACAUCCUUUAUAAUACUGGCAAACAUUUGGUGUUUCCCUGAAUUCUGUGAGCCAUUCAAGUAAAUUAUCAAACCCACAGGAACCCCUGUUUAUAGCUAGUAAGUGAGAGAUACAGGUGACAACCUGGACUUGAAGUUGGGAUCUGGGGCAUUGGGGAAAUGUGGGCCUUCUUGUAGGACUGAGCCCUUCACCUCUGGGGUCUGCACCAACUCUAGUUAGUGUUGAGAGUUGAAUUCUAGGGUACCCAGCUGGUGUCCUAUAAUUAUUUGGUGUGGGAAAUCCACAUGUCUGGUGUCUGAAGUAUGAGAGUAAAGGAGAAACAAGUGUUUUUCUCAUGCAUUUAAUAAACUUAAUAACUGAGGUGUCCAUGUGGUAGAGACAGCAUUUCAGAAGAGUAAACGUAAGAAGAUGGACUAUUUAAUAAGGGGUUUUAACUGGUACCAUACAUCUGGGGAAGGGUGACAGAAUUCCCUCCAACAUAUACCAGUAUAAAUUCCAAAUGGGUUAAAGAGUAUAAAUGUAAAGAAUUAGAAAGAUGAAGAAAAUAUAGGUGACUGUCUCAUAGCAAAAGGGAAAGGAUAUGAUAAAAACAGUUCAACGAAGAACUGAUGAUCAAUGAAAAAAUGAAUCUAAUAGUAACUAGAAAAUUCAAAUGGGAACAAUAGAGCUUUCCAAGUGUAAGGACAUUCUCAGUGCUUUUGUAUGUAUUUGUUCAUUUAAUCGAGUCUAUGGAGAAGGUACCUUUGUUAUAUCUAUUUUAUAGAUGAGGAAACUAAAGCCUAGAGUACAUCACUGUGAUCUUCAUCAACUAAGUGAGCUGGAAUCCUGAUCCUCUGUGGUCUGGCUAUAGGUCUGCUCAUAACUACUUAGCUGUAUGCUGGUGCAGGAGGAUGCCAUUUUGCCUAUCAAAAAGCAUUUAUAUAUAUAACAGCACAGGCAGGAGUGCAUGGGGUUUGAUUGCUAAUUUAAAGCUGAGGUGAAUAUAAGCUAUACAGCUUUUUUGGUUGGAAGUUAAGAGUUGUCAGAAGUCUUGAGAGUUUCUACCCCUGAUCCAAUAAUUACACUUUUAGGAAAUUUACCCAGGGAAAUAACCUGGGGAUGGGGUCUUGGCUAGGGAAUUUGCUUGAAUUGUUGCAUAGCACGUAAAUUUAAAAAUCAGGAAUUGCCCAUAUUGAAGAAUAGCAAGUCAGAUUAGUAGGUAGGAUGCCAUACCUUGAGACCAUCUGUGAAACAAAACAACCUUGCUCUCAUGGGUCAGUUUACAUCAGUGGAUAGUAGACAAUUAGAGACUCAGUGCAGAUUUUUAUUGCUAUCAUUCCAGAUUAAAAACCAGUCUACACUACCAGGCUGUGCCAAUUCCUAGACCAACCAAAAGUAGGAAGAGCUGUUUUCUCUCGGGGGGGUCUGUCUGCUGGUGAUGAGGUGGAGAGAAGGAGUUUCCACUGAAGACAGGAGGAAUACUGGUCCAAGGUGCCUAGGAGAACAAAAUUCUCUACCAAUCACCCAACAGAGAAGAGGGCUUUACAUUCAUCAACAUGAGUUUUACUGUCCUAGAAGAUUUAGGAGUUCCACUUCUGCAAAUGUGAAGAAAUUAAUCCGAAGUAUGGAAAAUAGUUAUGUGGAAGAAUACCCAUCACAAGUGAUUGAGAUUACCAAAGAAACAACCGUGAAGUAAGGGGAAGUUCAAUGAUGAGUCCCCAGAGAAUAUCUCCAUUUUUAAGGCCUAGUAAAGGAUUAAUGGAAAUCAGGAAAAGAACAGAGCUGGAGAUUAACUAUUUUCAAAAGGACAGGAGCUAACAUGCUGCAUUAUUCACUACAGCCAAGGAAUGGAAGCAACCUGAGUGUCCAUCAGCAGGUUGCAAUGUUGGGAUGAAUACAAAGAAACUGGUUAUUUGGGGACAUAAAAAUGAAAAUACAUUACACACUUUGUGACACUUUUAAUUUGAAAGAGCUUUGUGAAAUACAGGAUCUAUGUAUUAAGCACCCAUGGAACUUUUAGCCAGAAUAUACGAUGUCUUGGAAGCUCCCUAUAGCUUUUCCAUGAAGUUUGCCUGAAGACAGCAUGAAUCGGACUCUUGCAGAUAUUCAAACCACCCCCCAUGCUUAGCAGCUCAGCAAUCAGAGUGAAGCCCCUGGAUUACAGACUCACCAACUCUAUUCAGCCAAAUAGGGGGCAAAGAAAAGAGAAGAGAAGGUGACAGUGACAUUUUUACUUCAGGUAUCUGAGCAGAUGGUGAAAAAGGAGAUGCAAGAAGUGAAGAUUUAAGGAGAAAUUUAAUGAAUUCUGCUUUAGGGAUGUUGAGUGCCUUUGGGACAUCCAUGUGGAAAUAUUUGGCAGGCAAAUAAAAAUAUAGAUCUAGAGCUAUGGACACACAUGUUAGUGCUGAACAUGUACAUUUGAGAAUCAUGUACAUGUAUAUAACUUACUAACAAGCUGUGUGUAUUUGAAGUGAAUUCUUUCAAAAGAUAGUGAGUUUUCGCUGGGCAGAGCAAGAUGGCGGAGGAGUAGGAGACCUGGAUAUCGUCUGGUCUCAGGAAUUCAGCUGAAUAGGGAUCAAACCAUUCUGAACACCUAUGAACUCA